CGGACCUCCAAUCAGGCAAGACCACCCGCUGAAUUUAAGCAUAUAACUAAGCGGAGGAAAAGAAACUAACCAGGAU
rnacentral:rRNA from 1 species